GACGAACGCUGGCGGCGUGCUUAACACAUGCAAGUCGAACGGCAGCGCGGGCUUCGGCCUGGCGGCGAGUGGCGAACGGGUGAGUAAUGCAUCGGAACGUGCCCAGUAGUGGGGGAUAGCCCGGCGAAAGCCGGAUUAAUACCGCAUACGACCUGAGGGUGAAAGCGGGGGACCGAAAGGCCUCGCGCUAUUGGAACGGCCGAUGUCGGAUUAGCUAGUUGGUGGGGUAAAGGCUUACCAAGGCGACGAUCCGUAGCUGGUCUGAGAGGACGACCAGCCACACUGGGACUGAGACACGGCCCAGACUCCUACGGGAGGCAGCAGUGGGGAAUUUUGGACAAUGGGGGCAACCCUGAUCCAGCCAUGCCGCGUGCGGGAAGAAGGCCUUCGGGUUGUAAACCGCUUUUGUUCGGGAAGAAAUCCUCUGGGCUAAUACCCCGGGGGGAUGACGGUACCGGAAGAAUAAGCACCGGCUAACUACGUG
rnacentral:rRNA from 1 species